CGAAGUUAGCCGGGGCUUAUUCUGCGGGUACCGUCAUUAUCGUCCCCGCCAAAAGAGUUUUACAACCCUAAGGCCUUCGUCACUCACGCGGCAUGGCUGGAUCAGGCUUUCGCCCAUUGUCCAAUAUUCCCCA
rnacentral:rRNA from 1 species